rnacentral:rRNA from 1 species
AAUGAACGCUGGCGGCAGGCCUAACACAUGCAAGUCGAACGGAUCCUUCGGGAUUAGUGGCGGACGGGUGAGUAACGCGUGGGAACAUACCCAAAGGUACGGAAUAGCCUCGGGAAACUGGGAGUAAUACCGUAUGUGCUCGAAAGAGGAAAGAUGUAUCGCCUUUGGAGUGGCCCGCGUUGGAAUAUGUCGUUGGUGGGGAAUGUCCUACCAAGCCGACGUUCCAUAGCUGGUUUGAGAGGAUGAUCAGCCACACUGGGACUGAGACACGGCCCAGACUCCUACGGGAGGCAGCAGUGGGGAAUCUUAGACAAUGGGGGAAACCCUGAUCUAGCCAUGCCGCGUGAUCGAUGAAGGCCUUAGGGUUGUAAAGAUCUUUCAGGUGGGAAGAUAAUGACUGUACCACCAGAAGAAGCCCCGGCUAACUCCGUGCCAGCCGCCGCGGUAA